CUUGGUCAUUUAGAGGAAGUAAAAGUCGUAACAAGGUCUCCGUAGGUGAACCUGCGGAGGGAUCAUUACAAGAACGCCCGGGCUUCGGCCUGGUUAUUCAUAACCCUUUGUUGUCCGACUCUGUUGCCUCCGGGGCGACCCUGCCUUCGGGCGGGGGCUCCGGGUGGACACUUCAAACUCUUGCGUAACUUUGCAGUCUGAGUAAACUUAAUUAAUAAAUUAAAACUUUUAACAACGGAUCUCUUGGUUCUGGCAUCGAUGAAGAACGCAGCGAAAUGCGAUAAGUAAUGUGAAUUGCAGAAUUCAGUGAAUCAUCGAAUCUUUGAACGCACAUUGCGCCCCCUGGUAUUCCGGGGGGCAUGCCUGUUCGAGCGUCAUUUCACCACUCAAGCCUCGCUUGGUAUUGGGCAACGCGGUCCGCCGCGUGCCUCAAAUCGUCCGGCUGGGUCUUCUGUCCCCUAAGCGUUGUGGAAACUAUUCGCUAAAGGGUGUUCGGGAGGCUACGCCGUAAAACAACCCCAUUUCUAAGGUUGGCCUCGGAUCAGGUAGGGAUACCCGCUGAACUUAAGCGUAUCAAUAAGCGGAGGAAAAGAAACCAACAGGGAUUGCUCUAGUAACGGCGAGUGAAGCAGCAAUAGCUCAAAUUUGAAAUCUGGCGUCUUCGACGUCCGAGUUGUAAUUUGUAGAGGAUGCUUCUGAGUGGCCACCGACCUAAGUUCCUUGGAACAGGACGUCAUAGAGGGUGAGAAUCCCGUAUGCGGUCGGAAAGGCGCUCUAUACGUAGCUCCUUCGACGAGUCGAGUUGUUUGGGAAU
rnacentral:sRNA from 1 species